AUCUUAAACACGGCAACUUGAUCAGCUUUGUCCGGCAAAAUAACGAGCCUGCAUUAAUUUACUUUCAGGAACAAUGUUCAUCCGAGGAUCUGACCACGCGCGAGCGCGGCAGCUGGACGUUUGUGCAGCUUUAGCAAGCAGAAAAACUCCAUUGCGGUUGGACGUCUGGAGGAGCACACUUGCCGUAUGAACAGAAACGGAAUUCCCACUCAGCCUCUAAUGAGGUCGAAGUCUGUGUUGGAUUGAGCGAGCACACGAGAAACAUCAGCGAACCGUUCUUUCACAUUUCAUCCACUCGCACAAACAUGGAACAAAAUAAAUACAAGGUGUUUGCAAAAGGACGUAAGGACACAAAUAGAUAGCAACUGAGUAAUUCCUUCCCCUUAAAUUACUGUUUAGAUUUGAAGUGUUGGCAGUACUCGAUCAUACCCGGUCGAUGGUUGACAAUUUUGAAUUAAGUGUCAUGAUUGAAGAUGGCCUCGUCCAAUAUCUAUAUCGAUAGAGUUGAGCUUCGCCAACGCAUUUUGUAUUACUAUGCACAAAGCAAGAGUCCUGUAGAAACUACAAGACGAAUUUGGGGGGAGUAUGGAAGGAAUGUUCUGCCUUUUAGUGUCUGUAAAAUAUGGUUUAACAAGUUUGAGUCGCAUAAAUAUAAUCUCAAAUCAAGUGAUGCAACUAGAAGCGAACUGAAAGCAUUGUACAAGAAGAACCCGUCCCAAACACAAUAGAAGAUCGCAGACAGGCUUGGAAUUUCUCAACCAACAGUAUGGCAGCAUUUGAAAGUACUAAAAGAGAACCGGCAGAUAGAAAGACAAGUUACAACUAGAAGCAAAGUGGAAGCAUUGUACAAGGAGAACCCGUCCCAAACACAACAGGAGAUCGCAGAAAGGCUUGGAAUUUGUCCACGAGCAAUAUUGUAUCAUAUGAAAGCACUAACAGAGAAUGGGCAGAUAGAAAGACAAGUUACAACUAGAAGCAAAGUGGAAGCAUUGUAUAAAAAGAACCCGUCCCAAACACAACAGAAGAUUGCAGAGCGGCUUGGAAUUACUCAACAAACAGUAUGGUAUCAUUUGAAAGGAAUAAAAGAGAACCAGGAGUAAGAAAGACAAGUUGAUAAACAGUGAAUAUGGAUGUAACGAUAUCGGACUCGGAUACAGACUAUAAUGAAGACAAUAAUACUCUCGUUGCGGCACGCACGUGACAAAGUGCUCACAUCAUAAGUAUACAGUGAGCGACUACUGCUUCCUUUUUACUCGGAGAUUUGCGGCACUUGUCAGCAACGCUUGAAUAAAGUAACAAACUGUUAGCGUAAUAUAAUUUUUGUAACAUUCGGAAAAGUUAGGAGAAUGUACAUGUCUUUGCUAUUUAUUAUUAGGAAAGUUUAAUUAAUGGCAUAUAUUUUCUGACAACCUUAACUAUCGGUUUCUCAUCAAGAUGUAGUUCUUCGCGAAUGAACGUUUAAUCAUUAACGUGCUUUUAACAACAAAAGUAAAUAGUAUCAGAAAGGAUAGCUUUAAUCACUCGUUUAAGAUGUAUUGUAACAAUGGAAUAAUGUUAAACCUAAUCUAAGUAUGCAACUCGCGACUAUACCUAUUUAUUACUCUUUCUUGAUACGAUCGUGAUCCGUUGACUGUAGAUAUUGAGACAAAGAUACUUGUCACUAGUCUUUCAGUCAAGCUCGUGAAGAAUCAUGGAAUGUAUAUCGAUUUAUAUCGUAUUGGCAAACGUGGUCAUGCAGUGACAGCAUUCCUUGCAGAAGGAAUCCUUUCAUCCGAGGAUGAAUAGAUUUCCGCCAGUUAAGAUAUAUAUUUCGGAAUAAUUAUUCUAUGUUUUUUGCUGUUGAAAGUUCGGGUUUAUCAAAUGGAUUAAAUGAAUACAAAUGUUCGGGACUAAAAUUGUAAGUAGGUGACGUGAUUAUAUUUGUAAUGUAAUGUUUGUCUCUUCUCUGACUUUGCUUGAUUCAGAUCAAUUUUAAUUUUUUAUUAAAAUGUUUAUUGUACAAUAUUA